GAUGAACGCUGGCGGCGUGCCUAAUACAUGCAAGUAGAACGCUGAAGCUUGGUGCUUGCACCGAGCGGAUGAGUUGCGAACGGGUGAGUAACGCGUAGGUAACCUGCCUGGUAGCGGGGGAUAACUAUUGGAAACGAUAGCUAAUACCGCAUAACAGUAGAUGUUGCAUGACAUUUGCUUGAAAGGGGCAAUUGCUCCACUACCAGAUGGACCUGCGUUGUAUUAGCUAGUUGGUGAGGUAACGGCUCACCAAGGCGACGAUACAUAGCCGACCUGAGAGGGUGAUCGGCCACACUGGGACUGAGACACGGCCCAGACUCCUACGGGAGGCAGCAGUAGGGAAUCUUCGGCAAUGGACGGAAGUCUGACCGAGCAACGCCGCGUGAGUGAAGAAGGUUUUCGGAUCGUAAAGCUCUGUUGUAAGAGAAGAACGAGUGUGAGAGUGGAAAGUUCACACUG
rnacentral:rRNA from 1 species